rnacentral:rRNA from 1 species
CAGUAGCCGCGGUAAUACGAAGGGGGCUAGCGUUGUUCGGAUUUACUGGGCGUAAAGGGUGCGUAGGCGGAUUGUUAAGUCAGGGGUGAAAUCCCGAGGCUCAACCUCGGAACUGCCUUUGAUACUGGCGAUCUUGAGUCCGGGAGAGGUGAGUGGAACUGCGAGUGUAGAGGUGAAAUUCGUAGAUAUUCGCAAGAACACCGGUGGCGAAGGCGGCUCACUGGCCCGGAACUGACGCUGAGGCUCGAAAGCGUGGGGAGCAAACAGGAUUAGAUACCCCCGUAGUCCCUGUCUCUUAUAC